rnacentral:rRNA from 1 species
GACGAACGCUGGCGGCGUGCUUAACACAUGCAAGUCGAACGGAAAGGCCCUUUCGGAGGUACUCGAGUGGCGAACGGGUGAGUAACACGUGGGUGAUCUGCCCUGCACUCUGGGAUAAGCAUGGGCAACUGGGUCUAAUACCGGAUAGGACCGCACUCUAGUGUGUGUGGUGGAAAGUUUUUUCGGGGUGGGAUGGGCCCGCGGGCUAUCAGUUUGUUGGUGGGGGAAUGGCCUACCAAGGCGGCGGCUGGUAGGCGGACAGGGGGGGUGGGCGGGCACAAUGGGACUGAGGAACGGCCCAGGCACCUACGGGGGGGCAGAGGGGGGAAUUUUGCACCAUGGGCGCGAGGCUGGUGCAGGGAAGCCGCGGGGGGGAAGACGGGCUUCGGGGUGGAAAAUCCUUUCGCCAGGGACGAAGCGUUUUGUGACGGUACCUGGUGAAGAAGCACCGGCUAACUACGUG